GAAGCAGGACAUCUCAGAUGCAGGUUAUAUUUCUCUCCCUCUCUCUCAACUUCCUUCUCCCAAAACCGUCAUUAAGCUGCAAAAUUCUCUUUUCUCAUGCUACAUCCCAGUUUCCUGGAGAUCUUUUUCUGUUCAAUUCCUAAGGUUAUGCUGAAACCUAAUCAGGCUAUCAUGUCUUUUGGCAUUCUUGUCUUCUUGGGAUUGCACUACACAAAUAUUCUUCAUUUCAUUCUAGGGCCAUCUAAUCUUCUUCAUAGUUGUUCCUUGGUGCAUCUUCUCAUGAAUGAAUUCAUAUUUACAGGUUCACUGUUAUUAUUUAUUUAUUUAUGUGACAUAAUACCUACUAGUCUUUGUUUUGAUAUUCCUGACUGGUUUCCCUUUCUGCCCUGCAUUUCUUUUUCGGUCUUAGUGGAGCUGAAAUUGGAAGAUUUGUUGCCAUGCUACGAAAUUCCUCUUCCAUACUCAAGGCUUGUGCUGCAUUUGCUCUUCUCCAGUUUACCAUUCCUGGAGGCCGGCAUGCUAUGCACCAUGCA
rnacentral:misc_RNA from 1 species